AUUGAACGCUGGCGGCAUGCUUUACACAUGCAAGUCGAACGGUAACUGGCCGCAAGGUGCUGACGAGUGGCGAACGGGUGAGUAAUGCAUCGGAACGUGCCCAGUCGUGGGGAAUAACGCAGCGAAAGCUGUGCUAAUACCGCAUACGAUCUAUGGAUGAAAGCGGGGGACCGGAAGGCCUCGCGCGAUUGGAGCGGCAGAUGUCAGAUUAGCUAGUUGGUGGGGUAAAGGCCCACCAAGGCGACAAUCUGUAGCUGGUCUGAGAGGACGACCAGCCACACUGGGACUGAGACACGGCCCAGACUCCUACGGGAGGCAGCAGUGGGGAAUUUUGGACAAUGGGCGCAAGCCUGAUCCAGCAAUGCCGCGUGCAGGAAGAAGGCCUUCGGGUUGUAAACUGCUUUUGUACGGAACGAAACGGUCUGGGUUAAUACCCUGGGCUAAUGACGGUACCGUAAGAUUAAGCACCGGCCAACUACGUGCCAGCCGCCGCCGUAACAC
rnacentral:rRNA from 1 species